AGCGAACGCUGGCGGCAGGCUUAACACAUGCAAGUCGAACGCCCCCGCAAGGGGAGUGGCAGACGGGUGAGGAACACGUGGGAACGUACCCUUCGGUUCGGAAUAACUCAGGGAAACUUGUGCUAAUACCGGAUACGUCCGAAAGGAGAAAGAUUUAUCGCCGAAGGAUCGGCCCGCGUCUGAUUAGCUUGUUGGUGAGGUAACGGCUCACCAAGGCGACGAUCAGUAGCUGGUCUGAGAGGAUGAUCAGCCACACUGGGACUGAGACACGGCCCAGACUCCUACGGGAGGCAGCAGUGGGGAAUAUUGGACAAUGGGGGCAACCCUGAUCCAGCCAUGCCGCGUGAGUGAUGAAGGCCUUAGGGUUGUAAAGCUCUUUUGUCCGGGAAGAUAAUGACGGUACCGGAAGAAUAAGCCCCGGCUAACUUCGUGCCAGCAGCCGCGGUAAUACGAAGGGGGCUAGCGUUGCUCGGAAUCACUGGGCGUAAAGCGCACGUAGGCGGGCUUUUAAGUCGGAGGUGAAAUCCCAGGGCUCAACCCUGGAACUGCCUUCGAUACUGGAAGUCUUGAGUCCGGAAGAGGUGAGUGGAACUCCGAGUGUAGAGGUGAAAUUCGUAGAUAUUCGGAAGAACACCAGUGGCGAAGGCGGCUCACUGGUCCGGUACUGAC
rnacentral:rRNA from 1 species